rnacentral:rRNA from 1 species
CCUACGGGUGGCUGCAGUGGGGAAUAUUGGACAAUGGGCGAAAGCCUGAUCCAGCCAUGCCGCGUGUGUGAAGAAGGCCUUCGGGUUGUAAAGCACUUUCAGUGGGGAAGAAAGCCUUGGGGCUAAUACCCUCGAGGAAGGACAUCACCCACAGAAGAAGCACCGGCUAACUCCGUGCCAGCAGCCGCGGUAAUACGGAGGGUGCGAGCGUUAAUCGGAAUUACUGGGCGUAAAGCGCGCGUAGGCGGUCUGAUAAGCCGGUUGUGAAAGCCCCGGGCUCAACCUGGGAACGGCAUCCGGAACUGUCAGGCUAGAGGGCAGGAGAGGAAGGUAGAAUUCCCGGUGUAGCGGUGAAAUGCGUAGAGAUCGGGAGGAAUACCAGUGGCGAAGGCGGCCUUCUGGACUGACACUGACGCUGAGGUGCGAAAGCGUGGGUAGCAAACAGGAUUAGAUACCCCAGUAGUC